UACAGAGACCUCAAGCGUUAUCCGGAAUCAUUGGGCGUAAAGCGUACCGAUAGGGGGUUUUGGUAGUUUUGUGUAAAAGCCAGAAGCUCAACUUCUGCGUUUGCUCAAAAUACUCCAAGACUAGAGGGACAAAGAGGUGGCUGGAACGAAUGGUGUAGUAGUGAAAUGCGUUGAUAUCAUUCGGAACACCGAAAGCGAAGGCAGGCCACUGGGUGUCACCUGACACUGCUAGGACGAAAGCGUGGGGAGCGAAUGGG
rnacentral:rRNA from 1 species